rnacentral:tRNA from 1 species
GCCCAACUGGCUCAGUCAGUAGAGCAUGUGACUCUUGAUCUUGGGGUUGUGAGUUCAAGCCCCAUGUUGGAUG